rnacentral:rRNA from 1 species
AUGGCCUCCCAACUAGGGCCGCCGACGGCGAGAUAUGCCCCACCUGCUCCCAGCACCAUCACUUCUAUAGGCGACGACCUUCUCCGCGAGAUCUUCCUCCAUCUCCCCUCCCUACCGAGCCUCGUCCGCGCCGCCCUUGCCUGCCGCACCUUCCUCCACGCUGUCCGUUCGUCCCCCGUCUUCCGCCGGGGAUUCCGGUCGCUCCACCCAUCCCCAUUCCUUGGCCUCUUUAUCGAGUCCUACAGCUGUUCCCUCCCUUCUUUCGUCCCCCUCCGCCGCCGGUCCGACCCGGACCUCGCCGCCGCAAUACGCGGCGGCGAUCUCUUCCUCACCCGACUCCCGGAGGACAACGACGACCCCUCUCCCGGGUGGGAGAUCCAGGGCUGCCAAGACGGCUACGUCGUCCUGCUCAACCGGAGCACCGAGCAGAUUGCCGCCUACAACCCCCUCACACUGGCUCUGGAUUUCCUCCCUCCACUGCCCCAUGAGAUGUCCCGCUCCCGCUCCCUCGAGAUCCACGUCGUCUUCUCCCAAGAGGGCCAGGGGUCGUUCCGUGCGGUCUGCGUCCGCCACGGCAGGUCCCUGCGGCGGGCGCGGGCGCGCAUCGCCGUCUUCUCAUCGGACGACAGGGGCAAGGGGUGGCUGGUUAUGCCGGCGGUGGACACCGCGACGCCACAGCCUGGGGAUGGUGGAGUUGACAAGCCCAUGUUUCACACUGGCACCCUGGUGAAUGGAUUCAUCUAUUGGAAGCGCAAGACCCAGGCCUGCAUGCUCGUGCUCAACACUGCGACAUUGCAGUUCUCUGAAAUGGAUUUGCCGCAGCCCCUAAAAGGGAAACACUCCACAAACUUCAGGCUUGGUCAGACCAAGGACGGCGAGCUCUGUAUCGUUUGCGCAGACGACUCCCGUGCAAAGGAGUGGACGCUUGCUGUUUGGUUCUGGAGAGCCGACGAUGGCGGUGUCAAGAGAUGGAUGGAGAAGAGGUUUCCGUUGCACAAGUUUGUUGAGUUCACCGAGUGUUCAGGAGAAGAUCAUGUCGUGGUGAACAGUUUGGCAGUUGUCGACGGCUUUGUGUACCUGUCUAGUUACUGUCACGCAAGUACUGAAUCUCCUGAGUGGUUUCUAUCCUUCUGCCUUGAAACAGCGGAGCUUAUCAAACUCUUCCGGGGUACAUUUGACAGCCCUCUCCAUCCCUACAUCAUGGCCUGGCCACCUUCUUUGGUAUGCAACAAGGAGGAUUCAGAGACCAAAGUAACUGGGGCCAAUGUUGUAGAAGAUGGUUUGUAA